GCCCCUCGCCCCGCCCGGGGCUGGGGAAACUGAGGCUGGGUGGCUCCCCGCAAGCGCUCGGCGAGCUGGGGACUGGAGGGGCGAGAAAGUUGUUUGGGUAUCAGGUUAGUGAUUUCAGCCAGACUGCAGCUUGGAUGUCACUAAGUUCAGCCACUGGGCUGGGCACCGCCAAGCAUCGACUGCUCAUUCUUUCUGUGCCGCUGCGCCCAGUAACUGUCCCCUCUGCUCACCCACAACCCUAGCCAGAAACCUGGGAUGCCUGCACCGCUCCCUUACGCCCUACUACAACAGAGAGGAGAUCUUGCUAUGUUGCCCAGACUGAUCUCGAACUCCUGGCCACAAGUGAUCCUCCCAGCUGGCCUCCCAAAGUGCUGAGAUUACAGGUGUGAGCCACCAUGCCCGGCCUCUCAGUAUUUCUUGAAUCCAUCUCCACUGCCACCACUUUGUUCUGGCUUUAUUACCUUGUUCUUUUAUUUCCUCAAUAAAUAUUUGUUGCUCUCCCAUGAUCCUCAUAACAGCCAAGGAUGCAUAGGUGAACAAGAUAGAUAAGAUCUCUGCUUUCUAAGAGUUUACAUUCCAGUGAGGAGAAGUAGGCCAUAAACACAUAAGGAAAUACCGGAUCUUGCCGAGAUGAUGGAACAGGCAGAGAUGGAACAAAGAUGAUGGAACAGGCAGAGUCUAGGUGGUCAGGGGUGAACUCAGAGGCAGGCGGGUGACCUGAGACCCAAAUGAGAGGAGGGAGGCAGGCGUUCAAAGCCCCAGGAGAGGCCGGCGAGGUGGCUCACGCCUGUAAUCCCAACACUUCAGGAGGCCGAGGCAGGUGGAUUGCCUUCAGGAGUUCAAG
rnacentral:lncRNA from 1 species